rnacentral:misc_RNA from 1 species
CUUUUUUCCAAUCUCCAUCCUUUUUAAUCUCAAGAUGGAAUUCAAUAAUCCGUUGUCCCAUGUGAAUUGGCUCUUGCACUCGCAAAACAUUGAAAGAUAGUGAUUCCUGAAGAUCUAAAUGCAACUCCCAAUCAGAUUGAUUCUCCUCAGGAGCCCAAUAGGUGUAGAUUCCUUCUUCAAGGACAUUGAAGGGUUUAAACCGUGAAUCAUUAGUGCCUCCUCGCGUACUGCUCGCGCUAAAAAGGCCAUUCUUGGCUAGAUUAUUGGAGAAU